UACGAAGGGGGCUAGCGUUGCUCGGAAUCACUGGGCGUAAAGCGCACGUAGGCGGCUUUCUAAGUCAGGGGUGAAAUCCUGGAGCUCAACUCCAGAACUGCCUUUGAUACUGGAGAGCUCGAGUCCGGGAGAGGUGAGUGGAACUCCGAGUGUAGAGGUGAAAUUUGUAGAUAUUCGGAAGAACACCAGUGGCGAAGGCGGCUCACUGGCCCGGUACUGACGCUGAGGUGCGAAAGCGUGGGGAGCAAACAGG
rnacentral:rRNA from 1 species